rnacentral:rRNA from 1 species
CCUACGGGCGGCAGCAGUGAGGAAUAUUGGUCAAUGGACGAGAGUCUGAACCAGCCAAGUAGCGUGAAGGAUGACUGCCCUAUGGGUUGUAAACUUCUUUUAUAUGGGAAUAAACUGUUUCACGUGUGGGAUUUUGUAUGUACCGUAUGAAUAAGGACCGGCUAACUCCGUGCCAGCAGCCGCGGUAAUACGGAGGGUCCGGGCGUUAUCCGGAUUUAUUGGGUUUAAAGGGAGCGUAGGUGGAUUGUUAAGUCUGUUGUGAAAGUUGGCGGCUCAACCGUGAAAUUGCAGCUGAAACUGGCAGUCUUGAGUACAGUAGAGGUGGGCGGAAUUCGUGGUGUAGCGGUGAAAUGCUUAGAUAUCACGAAGAACUCCGAUUGCGAAGGCAGCUCACUGGACUGCAACUGACACUGAGGCUCGAAGGUGUGGGUAUCAAACAGGAUUAGAUACCCUUGUAGUC